rnacentral:rRNA from 1 species
AGAGUUUGAUCAUGGCUCAGAAUCAACGCUGGCGGCGUGCCUAACACAUGCAAGUCGAACGCGAAAGUCCCGCAAGGGAUAAGUAGAGUGGCAAACGGGUGAGUAUCGCGUGGGUGACCUACCUCUGAGUGGGGGAUAACAUUCCGAAAGGAGUGCUAAUACCGCAUGACAUCCUGUCUUUGGACAGAUGGAGAUCAAAGCCGGGGAUCGCAAGACCUGGCGCUUAGAGAAGGGCCCGCGUCCGAUUAGCUAGUUGGUGAGGUAACGGCUCACCAAGGCUCCGAUCGGUAGCCGGCCUGAGAGGGCGGACGGCCACACUGGGACUGAGACACGGCCCAGACUCCUACGGGAGGCAGCAGUGGGGAAUUGUUCGCAAUGGGCGCAAGCCUGACGACGCAACGCCGCGUGGAGGAUGAAGACCUUCGGGUCGUAAACUCCUUUCGACCGAGAUGAAUACCUGCCGACCUAACACGCCGGCAGGCUGACAGUAUCGAGGGAAGAAGCCCCGGCUAACUCUGUGCCAGCAGCCGCGGUAAUACAGGGGGGGCAAGCGUUGUUCGGAAUUACUGGGCGUAAAGGGUUCGUAGGUGGCUUGCUAAGUCAGACGUGAAAUCCCUCAGCUUAACUGGGGAACUGCGUCUGAGACUGGCGAGCUUGAGGGUAGGAGAGGAAUGCGGAAUUCCAGGUGUAGCGGUGAAAUGCGUAGAUAUCUGGAGGAACACCGGUGGCGAAGGCGGCAUUCUGGACUACAUCUGACACUGAAGAACGAAAGCCAGGGGAGCAAACGGGAUUAGAUACCCCAGUAGUCC